AGGCCUGUAGCUUAACGGUAGAGCGGCGGCUUCCAAACCCGCAGGUCGGAGGUUCGAGUCCUCUGCGGGCCUGCCA
rnacentral:tRNA from 1 species